GGCAAUAUGGCCGAGCGGUCCAUGGCGUGUGACUCAAGUUCUCAUCCGCGUAAUGCGGGCGUGGGUUCGAAUCCCACUGUUGUCA
rnacentral:tRNA from 1 species